ensembl:lncRNA
AUCAUAUUUUAAUUCUGUUCAGAAGCAUACAACUAUUAUAGUUUUAUUUAAACACAGAACAAAAAGCAGCCAUAACAUCAAUAUCCCGGGUAUCAUCUUAAGAGGAGAAGAACUGAGAAUUACAUAAAUUAUUACACUUUUUUUUCAGGAACGCAAAGUGCAAAAUAAAACUUGCAGUCGAGGAUCAGCCGUAGAAUCUGGGCCAGCGUUUGUUUUCUCUGUAUGCUCUCCUCUAUUUUUUCCAGUGUUCCUCAGCGAAUAUUUAUUGUUUGCGUAAUAAAAAUAUUGUUAAAAAUAGUCUUUGCCUCCACUUCGUUAUAAAAGGAGCGCCCGGCUUGGGCAGGGACAGAGAGCCUUUGCGUAACUAUGGCCCGCACCGUGUGCUGUUCUCAGGUUUGCAGACCUUACGCCCAGCAAUUAGCGUGUUUUCCAGCUGAUAAAUCAGGAGCCCCCGUUUUUCUCUGAGGCUCAGUCGCGUGCUUCCUGUGCCAUCAACGAUUAACAGCUUUAUCUGGGAAGACGUCCAGCUACGUAAGUGCAGUAAGAGUUUUACGUGAUCAUCCUCCUUCAUAAACGCAGAGUCUUUUUCUUCUUGGGCCGACUGAAGCACCAGGUCCCUUCACCCUGGAGCAAAGGAGGUGAAAACGGUUCUAUUUCAGUCCCAAGUGACUUCACACCAUUCCUUUGGUAAAGGCUCCGUUGUCAUGGAAGUGGCUGGUCCGUGGAGCCCGCAGGCUGCCCAGGUGCGGCGUCAUUCCUCCGCUGGGCCGGUGCCCCGGUGGAGCCGCUAGGGCUGGGUGGUGGCGCGUCUGGAUCAGCGACACAGGAUCAGCUGCCAAAGAAAAUAACUCAGAAGCUGUCACACUGGGCAAGGCAUUUGCCUCUUCUAGAAGUUUCCAGACCUCAGCUCUUGGAUAUCAAAGACAGCUCUUGAAAUAGCUUCAACUCUGACCCGGCCAUCCAGCGUUGGCCCAGCGGCCUGCUGUGUGUGCAGGGAGCAUGCAGGCCUCAAACACCCCGUGAUCGGCUCUCAGAAGCUCCUGCAGUGGGGCCCCGAGGAGGCUGCGGACACCCCAAACCCUGACAGACAUAUUACCUGCAAGGUGAGGCUCAGAGAGGAUCGGCAGCGUGUCUACACUUCGGAUGACCACAACCAGUGGUGUCCCACCGACCCGGCUACCAAACCGUGCUCUUCCCUGCUUCUCUGUGGCCUUCAUUUCAAACAACAAAGGCAGCUUCCUGGACAGAACAGCUGCCCCAAGCACUCCGUUGGAUAAAAAUACGUAAAACAGCCACCAAUUGGUUGAGCACAGUGUUACAGGGUCUGUGUUCCCUUAGCAUCCAUGGUUCUCGGUCACCCAGCUUGGAAGAACAAAGAGGUGGACCGGAUGGAGAGUGGCGGGCAGCCAAGCAAAGUCUAUUGAGCAAAAGUAUAAAUCUCCCAGAGAAGGGGGGGGGCCCAGUGGAUUGCCCCCAGAGUUCCUAAGUUUAGGGGUUUUAUGAGCUCUUUCGCAGAACUCUCUUUUAAACAACCAGGGUGUGCUGAGUCGUGCCAAUCAGGGCUUUGGUCACGUACCCAUCUAUGAGGGUAAUGUCAAGGUGCUGAUGGUCUUUUUCU